AUUUUGAGGUGCUCUUCCGGUUUCCGGUUCCGUGCUUCAACAGAGGCCGCUGGGUGUUAAUGGUGCGGCUAGCUGCACGGCAGUUCAGCUUUGUUCCAGUUACUUUCAGUUGCCUGGGAGUGUUUCGCAACGGAAAGAAAAGGGUCAAAAACAAUCUCUGUGACAGACUGUCUACCCCCAGGUAUGUGAGUUUGUUUUAUCUAUUUUUAUGUGAGACGCUAGGCUAAAUGCCGGGGGUGUAGUGUUAAUUGCUUUAUUUCCCCCAGCCAGUGUUAUUUCGUCACCCGAUGUUCAUCCAUAUCCGGUUUAUUACUGAACCAAUACUGUAUCUGUGAUUUGGUGUGGCAGACGGCUAUUUCUCCGGUUCCGGGGAAUUCCUGCUGUAUGUGCAGUUGAUGCUGCACCUUGUUCCCGGGACAACGCUGCUGUUUUGUUCCGUGUUAAUUUUUUUUGUGUUAAAUUGCUUUGCUCCUCGUUAAAUUGUUCUCUUUGGUAACUGUUUAUUUUUGGUUUCGGUUUUGUUUCUUGAUUUAUAGCCACACUGUUACCUUCUU